GACAGAGGGUGCAAACGUUGUUCGGAUUUACUGGGCGUAAAGCGCGUGUAGGCGGCUUUGCAAGUCGGAUGUGAAAUCCCACGGCUCAACCGUGGAAGUGCAUCCGAAACUGCAUCGCUGGAGUCUCGGAGAGGAAGGUGGAAUGCUUGGUGUAGAGGUGAAAUUCGUAGAUAUCAAGCAGAACACCUGCGGCGAAGGCGGCCUCUGGACGAUGACUGACGCUGAGACGCGAAAGCGUGGGGAGCAAACAGG
rnacentral:rRNA from 1 species